UACGUAGGGUGCAAGCGUUGUCCGGAAUUAUUGGGCGUAAAGAGCUCGUAGGCGGUUUGUCGCGUCUGCUGUGAAAACGCGAGGCUCAACCUCGCGCCUGCAGUGGGUACGGGCAGACUAGAGUGCGGUAGGGGAGAUUGGAAUUCCUGGUGUAGCGGUGGAAUGCGCAGAUAUCAGGAGGAACACCGAUGGCGAAGGCAGAUCUCUGGGCCGUGAACUGACGCUG
rnacentral:rRNA from 1 species